rnacentral:piRNA from 1 species
AGGACUAUUAAAAAGCAAAAAAAAC